rnacentral:rRNA from 1 species
UGGGGAAUUUUGCACAAUGGGGGAAACCCUGAUGCAGCGACGCCGCGUGAUUUAGAAGGCCUUCGGGUUGUAAAAAUCUUUUUUACGGGAUGAAAAUGACAGUACCGUAAGAAUAAGGUCCGGCUAAAUACGUGCCAGCAGCCGCGGUAAUACGUAUGGAGCGAGCGUUGUCCGGAAUCAUUGGGCGUAAAGGGUACGUAGGCGGCCUAGUAAGUUAGAAGUGAAAUAAUAUAGCUCAACUAUAUAAAGCUUUUAAAACUGCUAGGCUUGAGAGAUCGCAUAGAGAGUGGAAUUCCUAGUGUAGCAGUGAAAUGCGCAGAUAUUAGGAAGAAUACCGGUAGCGGAGGCGACUUUCUGGUCAUCCUCUGACGCUGAGGUACGAAAGCGUGGGUAGCAAGCAGC